rnacentral:lncRNA from 1 species
GGUCGACCACACUUGGCUUUUCUAUAUAAAUAGAAAUUCUCAGCUUUUCUUGUCCAAAUUGAGCCCAAUUUCGAGUCCCACACCUUAGCCCAACAAUUUCGACCAUCAGCCCCUACCCAUCUGAGCCCACGACCCAAAACCAACCUGUGACCCGCCACAUCUUCCAUUUAAUCCCAGACAUUGAUCCAUGUUAAUCUAACGGCUAUUAUUCACCCCACCCACAUAUAACAACCUAAUAUUCACUAACCCUAACCCUAAAGACCCAACCAAAACGGUGCCUCACCCCUCUCACACCCUCUGUCCGCCCCCAACCACACCCUAAGGUCGCCCGAGCUCCCCUCAAAUUCCUUCCACGUCAUCUGAAUCCAUAACAAACUCUGACAAUCGAAUCUUCUUCAACCUCCCCACGUGUUUUUUCUAUUUUGUUUUGGACGAAUUUGGAUAAAUGGGAGUUCGUAGGAUCUAUGGAGAUGAAGAUCCUAGGCUUCCAUUUGUCCCAUUUUGGUUCGAAAGGGAAAAAUUCAGAUUUGAGGAGGAUUUUCGGAUUUUUGGAGAAGCUUCUAGGCUUGGGUAUAAGAGGAGUUUCUUUGGACAGAAAUUGAAGAGAGAAAAAUCGAGAGGCGGAAGUUCUAGGGCUGAGAGAUAGCUUUCCUUUUUCUCUGAUUUUUGAAUUGAAGUCAUCGGUCCGUUUAUAAAAUUAGAAAAAGAGAGCAAGAUUUUUGGCUUUUCUUUCUUUGAUUUUGAGUUUUCCAGAAAAAGAAAAAAUAUACAAAAAUGUUUCUAUUCCCUCUUUCCAACUUCGAUUUUGAUUCUUAACCAUGGAAUUUGAUUGAGGUUUUCCGUGGAGUCGAAGUUUGUUCGAGGCCGAGUUCGUGGAUUUUGGAUCCUGUCGCAUUCUCAGCUGCUGUUACUUCCAAUUUCAGUGCCGGAUUCAUUUGUAUUCGAUUCCAAACAAACUUAAUUGAAGAGUUUCGCAGUUUCAGGUUCACCUCUUUCCUUCUCAUUCUUGUUAAUGGUGUGAUUGAAACAUGAUAAGAGCCGUAGGUUUGUCGAAUUUGGAAAGUGUUUGAGUUGAUUUAGAAAGGGAAUUGAUUGAGGGCUGAUUUGUGUGAAUAUAUAUGGGGGUUACACUUAAAUGUUCUGGAAUGUCUUUUUAGCUCGGAUUGUUUGUCUUUUGACCUGAAUGAUUGAUAUUCGAUUGAUAGUGAAAUUGUACUGCUUGAUAUGAGUUAAUGCUUGUCUUGAUUGCAUUCUUUGAGUAUUCGGGCUGCUGUUACUUGAAGUAGCAUAUGAGAUAAGUGAAUCAUGUUUAGAGUCAGAUUAGCCUGCAUAUCUUAUUGCAUUUCGCUCACUGUUGCUUUGCUUUGGUCUGCUGUUAAUUUUGCCUGUCUUUGCCAGUUCACCUGUAAUUAGAAUGCCGGCACUCAUUUCACCUCAAAUGAGUUAUGUUAAGAGUUAUUGAAAGUUAACCUGGCUCUAAUAUGCAUCUCAACUUAAUGAGUUUGUUGAUCAGUGACAUUCCUAAUUUGCACAUUGAGAUCAUUUCUGCGUGUUUCAGUCAAUUAGCCUCUAUUUGAAAACCCACGGCUUUUGGUGUCUUGUUUCUUUUGUUAGUUAGAAGAUCAAUCAUAUAGCUAAGGUCCAGGAUGAUUGUUUCAUUGCUUUCGAGCUCAUUUUAAUUGAGUUUGAACAUGGAUAAUUGACAAGGUUGGAAUGUCUGUGAUUAUGGUUCAAAGUUGAAUUGCACUGAAUGUAUUCGGACUACUAGUGUUUAGAUCCAUUCACAUCUGUUGAUUUCUUCUUAAUAUCAUGGAACCAAGGUUCACCAUCAAGUUCGAAAUGCUAAUGUCCUAGAUGGUCGAGUUGUUUUAUCAAUUGCCCUUUACACGCUGGUUUGUUCCAGUAAAAAAAACAUGUUCUCAUGUUCUGUUGAUAAGUCUAUGUCAUGUGGGUAUUGCAGAAAUUUCAAUUGAAUUUAAGAAAAGGUACUCCAUUUAAAGGGUGUUAGUUGGGGAGCUGUGAGUGAGAUCGACAAGAUGUUAAGGUGGCUCUUACCAUAUUUCAAGCACACCAGUCCUUUAUUCUAUUUUGCUAUUAUCUUCUUUAUUAGUUUAUUGCCUCAGUGUUUGUGUGUCUUUUUGCAUUAUUUGACCUUAUGGAAUUUGUUCAGUUGAAUGAUUGUCGGGCGUGGGAAAUUGGGAAAAGACUUGGCCCAUUAGUGCUUAAUUUACCAGCUUUAGGAUUGGGCUCGGCCUACAAAAUGAUAAGUUAAAAAAGAACAAAAUCAUGAAUUGAAUUUUCUUCCAGUUCUCUUAUUUACUUAUUUUUAUUUUAUUUUUGUUAUUCGCUAAUGUUUAGGCCGACAACAUUUGGGUAGGCAAUAUUAGGACGUUUUAUUAAUUUUGAGGCGAGAGGUCGUCCCUUUAGUUAAAUUUAUCCGGGGAAUUCCCCGAAGGAUUAGUAAAUAUUCUAUUCCGGGGAAUGCCCCGAAGCACUUUGUAAAUAUUUUGGAGGUGUUGACGAGCAUUGUGGGGAAGUCAUAGUAUAGGUUAGUUUGGGAUUUUUCUUUUCAUUUUCUCUUAUUAGGUGGGGACGGCCUUGAGCCUCUUUUGUGUUUAUUUUCCUUUUAUAUGUUUUUUUUUACCUCAAUUUGAAUAUUUUAAAAGCUAACUAGAUCGGGUACGCAACUGUGAUUUUCACGGGACUUGGGGAAUGGCUAACACCUUCCCGAGUCAAAUGAGCCCCCUUAUCUAGAAUAUUUGAUGCAAACUGGUUUAAGAGUCAAAUGUGUUUUUAAGGAAAAAUUGGUUUUAAAUGGUGAUUUGGCACACCGAAAUUACAUGUCAAGCGGCGAGUCUUAGUUAAUCCAUUUUAAACAAUGUUUUGUCACUUUUCAAUUUUGGAAAACCCUUUCGAGCUUUGCAAAACUUUUUAUUAAUUAAAAGAGGGUUAGUGAGGUAAAAAAAAAGGGUGUGACACAAGCUAUGCAAACCAUUGAAUAAAUCUCAUUACAAUGCAACAACUAAUAAUAGUCCUGUACAUGCUGCAGCUGUAAAUUUCAAUCAAACCUUUUAAGGGUCAUAACAACAGCAAAAAUUCAAGAAUCAGCGGAUCAAAGGAGUGUUAUAUGCCUAGCUUCCAAGCAAUGGAAGCUACAAUCUGCCAAAAACAGAGAAUUUAAUGUUCAAAAAUUUGUUAUGUAAAAUGAAUCAUCAAUAUAAAUUGAGAAAGCAGUUCAAACACAUGUAACAAGGCUACCUCAGAAAAAACAUGAUAGAAUUGCAAACUAUCAUUAAUCUUAUAUUUACCUCUUGUAUGCAACUUUAAGGUCUCCCAUUUGAACUCGUUGCACUCAGAACAUUCCAUAAUAAAUCAUCGACGAGUCAAUAACUAGACUGAUCUGAGACCGGUUGCCACACUGCUUUGAUCAUUCCUCCUUUCGUCGUCUUGGACUUGUGAAAAUUACUAGUAACCAUGAGUAGAGUUAGUAACAACAUCAAUUGAUACUUCUUCCGGUCCACUUUAAUUGAUUAUUUGGCUGUUUCACAUAUAUUUAGGAACCCACCUUUUAGUAUUAAUUAACAAUAAAAUUGACCAUAACUUUAGUUUGUUCAUUGAAAAUAUAACAAAUAUUCCUUAACUUUUUACUCCAAGAGCAACUUUGGAAAAAAGAAGUGUUAAUAUCUUUUUGAAAAAAAGCAAAUAUUAUGGACCACAAAGAAAGACCAAAAAAUCAAUUAAAGUGGACCGGAGGGAGUACCUUGUCGAAAAGAUUAGUUAUUUGGUUGCAACACAGGUCAUCUACCGAAAAACAAUCAUAUAGCACAAACUUCUGUUAUUUUACUUUUCAUAAAUUGUUUCCCCCUGUUGAAACUUUCUAUAUUGUACACCCUACACUCACUUGGAACUUAUUGAAGUUUUUGGCUUAUCCCUCAAACUCAUAGCAGCCACUUGACUUGCCAAGUUCUCGUCUCGAUCACUGUGAGCUGAGUAUUUUCUUGAGACAGCAUUUCCAUUAAUUGGCC